rnacentral:rRNA from 1 species
ACGGAAGGCAGCAGUGAGGAAUAUUGGUCAAUGGGCGCGAGCCUGAACCAGCCAAGUAGCGUGAAGGAUGACUGUCCUAUGGAUUGUAAACUUCUUUUGCGGGAGGGUAAAGUGUGCCACGUGUGGUUCAUUGCAAGUAUCCCGUGAAUAAGCAUCGGCUAACUCCGUGCCAGCAGCCGCGGUAAUACGGAGGAUGCGAGCGUUAUCCGGAUUUAUUGGGUUUAAAGGGAGCGUAGGCGGACGAUUAAGUCAGUGGUUAAAUUGUGUGGCUCAACCAUGCCGUGCCAUUGAUACAGGUUGUCUUGAGUGUACAAGAGGUGGAUGGAAUUCAAGGUGUAGCGGUGAAAUGCUUAGAUAUCUUGAAGAACUCCGAUUGCGAAGGAGUUCACUGGGGUACAACUGACGCUGAUGCUCGAAAGUGCGGGGAUCAAACAGGAUUAGAUACCCUGGUA